rnacentral:snoRNA from 1 species
GCUUUGAAUGAUGACUUCAAAAUCUUUUGUCGGAUACCCCUUCACUCUACAAUGAGUGAGAUCCCCAUUCUGACAUGC